rnacentral:rRNA from 1 species
AGAGUUUGAUCCUGGCUCAGAACGAACGCUGGCGGCGUGCCUAACACAUGCAAGUCGAGCGAGAAAGCCCGCAAGGGUGAGUAAAGCGGCGCACGGGUGCGUAACACGUGGGUAAUCUGCCCGGAAGUCCGGAAUAACUCGCCGAAAGGCGUGCUAAUGCCGGAUAAGACCACGGGAACCUCGGUUCCUGCGGGAAAAGGUGGCCUCUGUAUACAAGCUAUCUCUUCCGGAUGAGCCCGCGGCCCAUCAGCUAGUUGGCGGGGUAAUGGCCCACCAAGGCUACGACGGGUAGCUGGUCUAAGAGGACGAUCAGCCACACUGGAACUGAGACACGGUCCAGACUCCUACGGGAGGCGGCAGUGGGGAAUCUUGCGCAAUGGGCGAAAGCCUGACGCAGCAACGCCGCGUGUGUGAUGAAGGUCUUCGGAUCGUAAAGCACUGUCGCGAGGGACGAAUAAGGUGUCGGCUAACAUCCGGCGCUGAUGACGGUACCUCGAGAGGAAGCACCGGCUAACUCUGUGCCAGCAGCCGCGGUAAUACAGAGGGUGCAAGCGUUGUUCGGAAUUAUUGGGCGUAAAGCGCGUGUAGGCGGUUCAGCAAGUCGGAUGUGAAAGCCCUCGGCUUAACCGAGGAAGGGCGUUCGAAACUACUGAACUUGAGUGCCGGAGAGGGUGGCGGAAUUCCCGGUGUAGAGGUGAAAUUCGUAGAUAUCGGGAGGAACACCAGCGGCGGAGGCGGCCACCUGGACGGUAACUGACGCUGAGACGCGAAAGCGUGGGGAGCAAACAGGAUUAGAUACCCUGGUAGUCCACGCUGUAAACGAUGAGCGCUAGGUGUUGUGGGUGUUGACCCCCGCAGUGCCGAAGCUAACGCAUUAAGCGCUCCGCCUGGGAAGUACGGCCGCAAGGCUAAAACUCAAA